rnacentral:rRNA from 1 species
ACUCCUGCGGGAGGCAGCAGUGAGGAAUAUUGGACAAUGGGUGGAAGCCUGAUCCAGCCAUCCCGCGUGCAGGAAGACGGCCCUAUGGGUUGUAAACUGCUUUUAUCUGGGGAUAAACCUACUUACGUGUAAGUAGCUGAAGGUACCAGAAGAAUAAGCACCGGCUAACUCCGUGCCAGCAGCCGCGGUAAUACGGAGGGUGCAAGCGUUAUCCGGAUUUAUUGGGUUUAAAGGGUCCGUAGGCGGACUGAUAAGUCAGUGGUGAAAUCCGACAGCUUAACUGUCGAACUGCCAUUGAUACUGUUAGUCUUGAGUAAGGUUGAAGUGGCUGGAAUAAGUAGUGUAGCGGUGAAAUGCAUAGAUAUUACUUAGAACACCAAUUGCGAAGGCAGGUCACUAAGUCUUAACUGACGCUGAUGGACGAAAGCGUGGGGAGCGAACAGGAUUAGAAACCCCUGUAGUCCCAUGAU